UUGAUUCGACAAAUUCAUCACAAUCGCCAUAGCCAGUCAAUAUAACAGAAGAAAAACAACUUCACGCAAGAGAAACUCUUUCAAGAUUAAACUACACUGUAGAUUAGCAUGAUUUCGAAAAUGUUAAUUAGAUACAUUAUCCUUAUGAGAAAUCAUCCCAGUUUCAACAAGGUGAGGAACUUCUGCUGCUAGCCAAGGCCCAAGACCCAAGAAAAGCGCAUGUGAAACACCAAAUCUAGGACUGGCAAAGAGAUACAAAUUAAAAUAAAUCAAACAAUGAAAAAUCAAUUUGAUGCGCUAACGUUCUUUGUAUGAUUUCGUCACAAGGAAAUGCCGUUAUUUGAUACAAGAACAACACAAUACAAUACAAAGCUCUUUAAAGUCAUGAGAGUUCCCCUGAGACGCACUGGCUUAUUCCGUGGAGUCAUGCCGUGUGCUUAUGGAGUCGCAGCGUGAUGAUCUUUCCCUCCUGAACGAAUGAAAAGAAGAGCGUUUGCACAGAAAAGAGUGGAAAGUCUAUACUGUAGCACCUGAUGCCUUGGGAGUGGCCUUCGGAGUUGGGCUUGGAGCGGGGCUGGUCUUUGGAGGAGUUGGACUUGGAGCGGGGCUGGUCUUUGGAGGAGAUGGGCUUGCAGCGGGGCUGGUCUUUGGAGGAGUUGGACUUGGAGCGGGGCUGGUCUUUGGAGGAGUUGGACUUGGAGCGGGGCUGGUCUUUGGAGGAGAUGGGCUUGCAGCGGGGCUGGUCUUUGGAGGAGUUGGACUUGUAGCGGGGCUGGUCUUUGGAGAUGGGCUUGGUGUUGGGCUUGAACUGGGACUUUCUGUGCAUCCUGUUAACAGCAAAACUCCAUCAAGUUCAUGGUACAAAUCGUGGAAGCAUGAAAAGUUGCCUAGACAAACCUGGUGGGGGCGGUCCUGACAGAAACAUGAAAGAAAAAUAAAACAGUUAGGCAUGAAAAACCAUAGACAAACCUGGUGGGGGCGGUCCUGACAGAAACAUGAAAGAAAAAUAAAACAGUUAAGCCUGAGAAAAGAAGUUAAAUUCAAGAGUUUCACCUGGGCAUGGCGGCGCACCACGGAGCCAGCACCUGGAGCAACAAAACCAAAUCGAAGGCUAUAGUAGCACAAACUUGAAUUCAAACUUUCACCUGCAUCGAUCUUGUGCUGCAGCAACAACAAGCAAAGAAAAGAUGUUGGCAAGAGUCCCAUAGAAGACCAUGUCAAAUGCAUCAAAAGAACCUUGGUUUGCUUGACGAACAACAAACUCAACAGCUCCAUCAUCCCCGAGAAUGCAAACCACAAGACAUGAAAUCACCAAUGCCACAAAGACGGCCUUCAUCUUGUAGAGACACUGGAUGGCUGGCUGAGAGGCAAUGCAGGAGGUGAAAUGCGAAUGCAUAUGCAGUGCCUCGAAGCUGGAAUUUAUUUCGAACCAAGGCUAGCAAACAAAGUCACUAGAACGACAAUAUUCCGGAGAACGUGAAUGAGAAUUGUCUGAGGUGAAGUUGAGGUGAAGUGUCCCUUUCAAAUCUUAGCUGGGUAGCAACUCCAUACAAUAUAGACACAAGUUCCAGCAAAAUUGACAAAAUGUCAUAAAUGUCAGAUAGCACGUUCAUGACUUUCAUUAAAGCCCACAAAGAAGCUGGCAGCAAAGGGACGUGAUAGUUGUCUUGCCUUCUGCAAACCAGUUUCUUUGAUGCAGAGACUAAAUUGCAAGAGAUAUAUAUGUUUAAGCGAAGUAUGUGCUCUGCAGCUUGCUUGCCAUGAGCCACAUGGAACUUCCGUUUUUAGAUAUCUUCUUACUCCAAUUUUGGAGAGCCUGCAAGCGCUCAACAGAGUUGUCCAUGCCACCGCAUCUGGAAGAAAUGGCAUGGAUUGUAUGAGAUUCUCGGCCUCCUCCAUCCGCUUAGCCCGCCCAAGCAGAUCAACCAUGCACCUGUAGUGAUGGGUCGAUCCCAAAGUCUGAUUGGAUCGACAGGAAGUGUUCUCGAGCAUCAGUGAUCUUCCCCGCGUGGCUGCAACCGCUCAGGAUUGCAAUAAAAGCGAUCUCGUCCGGUGAAAUCCCUUCGAGAUUCAUGGCCUGAAACGCAUUAAUCGCAUCUUGCAUAUGCCCGUUCCUGGCAAGUACUGCGAUCAAGGCCGUCCACGACCGCUGGUCUUUCCAUGGCAUAUUUUCAAAUACUUCACAGGCGCAGCUUACAUGAUCAUUUACGGAAAAUGCAACCAUCAUUGUAGUGAACGAUGAAAGAUUGUGUUCCAGAAUUCUGUCAAAUAUUCUCUUCUCUUGCACAAGGCACCUAUUAGACUGAGAUCAAAACGUUCCACGACACUAUGUCGUGCAAGGGCAUUAGAUUGAAGGCUUGAAUUGAUUCGACAAAUUCAUCACAAUCGCCAUAGCCAGUCAAUAUAACAGAAGAAAAACAACUUCACACAAGAGAAACUCUUUCAAGAUUAAACUACACAGUGUAGAUUAGCAUGAUUUCGAAAAUGUUAACUAGAUACAUUAUCCUUAUGAGAAAUCAUCCCAGUUUCAACAAGGUGAGGAACUUCUGCUGCUAGCCAAGGCCCAAGACCCAAGCAGAGCGCAUGUGCAACACCAAAUCUAGGACUGGCAAAGAGAUACGAAUUAAAACAAAUCAAACAAGGAAAAAUCAGCUUACCAGUUCUUUGCCCAUAAAGGUUUGAAAUGGAUUGUCAAACAAAUCUUUCCACCCCUAUACAUCUGGAAAAGAGAGAAGAAGGUAAGAAUUUUUCCUUGAUAAUGAGCUAGAGAUUGAGCGUCUCUACCUUGGCUGUUUUCCCGUCCAGUUCCGGGAGCUCAAGCUCUGGAGCGGUUGCGGGG
rnacentral:lncRNA from 1 species